GAUGAAGAACGUAGCGAAAUGCGAUAAGUAAUGUGAAUUGCAGAAUUCAGUGAAUCAUCGAAUCUUUGAACGCACAUUGCGCCCCCUGGCAUUCCGGGGGGCAUGCCUGUUCGAGCGUCAUUACAACCCUCAAGCUCUGCUUGGUAUUGGGCUCUGCCGGUCCCGGCAGGCCUUAAAAUCAGUGGCGGCGCCACUCGGCUUCAAGCGUAGUAAUUCUUCUCGCUUCGGAGACUCGGGUGCGUGCUAGCCAGCAACCCCCAACUUUCUCAGGUUGACCUCGGAUCAGGUAGGGAUACCCGCUGAACUUAAGCAUAUCAAUAAGCGGAGGA
rnacentral:misc_RNA from 1 species